UUUUUACCGAUUCUUUCUUAUUACAUUUUAACAUCUUCGGAGAAGCCAAAAUAAGCAAGGGAGGACAGCGUUGGACUCCUUGCAACCUUAGAAAUUCACAGGACCUAAAAUGAGUCCAAUCUGACCUGUCUAGGUCAAUCAGUGAGUUUCGGUCAAAAUCUAUUGAUCGAUUCAGAUAUCUCAGAUUGCAACCAUUUCAAGUCCUGUAAAUUAAGGUUGCAAAGAGUCCCAGUGUCCUUCAUUGCUUAUUUCAUCUUAUCCGAAGACGUUAAAAUGUUAUCGAAUGAAUCAACUAAACUCUAAAUGCUAAGGACCUGAUAUGAUUUUCAUAUCAAGCCCUCGUUAUGCAUGUGCAAAAAAGAGAAGAAAAAGAAGAGAGGAGAGAAAAGAGUUUGCAUACAUAGGAGAGAGGAAAGAGGAAAGAGAAGAGAGAAAAAGAAAAGAGAAGGAGAAAAAGUCAAUUUUGGCAGGAGGGAUAGAAUGAGAAGUUCACAUAAUUGAGUACGCCCUAUGGUAAAUGUCAAAGUAGCAUAUGUCUUUUGGUCAAUUCGGAAACCUACGUACGUCCUUUGGUAAAUUGUCAUUUGCAGUUAUCCGAAUGGAGAAUUGUCUCACAUCCAAUGUAGUGUGGGGACAUCUCGUAGUUUUGGCUCUUUUUAUUAGUAGUUUCAAUUAUGUGUGCUUUGCCACAUGAUUUUAUUCCUCUCUCAAAUUCUAUGCAAGAUAUAUCAUAAGUAAUAUUCAAAUCUUUUAAGUUGCAUGUUAACUAAAACAUUUUGCUUAUUAGUCCUCCUCCCCAUUGCAUAUUUAACUCAAAUCAAUCGAACCCAUUCACGGUCUAUUAUUUGUCUUUGCUGAUGUACAUAUCAUAUUGACCUAUUGAAGUUACACCUAAUUAGUCAUACUCAUGACGAGUAUUAUUCUUUUAUAAGUAUCCCACACAUUCUAUACACUCAUCUUAGCAUUCUCGUUUUGCAACACUACCCUAUUUGUUGUUUUGUAACUAUCUAAGAUUGUGAUGCCUAUGGCAUGGUUGUUGUACUUUAGUUUUAAAAUUGUGCAACAGAUACAAAGGUCCACACAAACUCCAAAAGUUUCUCUUCAUUUCAACCACUUAGUUUUUUUCCUUAUUAAUGGCGUCUCAUCGAAUAAAGAAUUCAAGAUAUCUAAAAUUCAUAUUCGUGGGAAAUCAUAUUCAUCCAUAUUAACCAUGGGAAACUUGACUGAUACAGAUCAACCAAGUUGGAUCAAGAUUGGUACCUGAUCAGAUCCUAAGUGAUUUCUCAGGCAUCCCUUUAAGCCUCUAGGAAAUCAAUUGCCAAAAAUAGAGUAAUGAGGAAUCAAUUGUAAUCCAUGAGAAUGGAAGAAAUUUCCAAAAUUAGAGUGAGUUCUUUUUGAGAUUGCUUAUUCUCACUUGAGAAUCUUUUAGACAUGUGAUAGAAAAGCAGAGUGGAUCUUGAUCUAGGAGAGGGGCCUAUCAAUUUGAGAGGAAGAAAGCAACGACUUUCAGUGCUUUGUGAGGAAGAUCGAGGUGUGUGUCAUGCGGAGGCGAACAAGUUGACUCUCCAUUUGUUUGUGAGAACAAUUGAUGUUGUGCCAAGUGUCCUUGAGGAGGAAGUUGGGAUGGAGUAGGGAGGCAUUGUUGUAGGCUUAGGGUUGGGAUAAAGACGGAGGCGUCCUCAAAUCUUUUUCACAUAGUAAAUUAUGAGAACUUAUAAACUUGAUAGUGCUCAAGGAGAUUAUAUAUAAUGGGAUAAAAUAGAAAGAAACUAAGAAGAGUAUUCGAUAAGUGCUUGUGGGAGUUGAUAAAUUUUAAUUAAACUCUUAUUCUGAAAGCUCAAUCUAUUAGGAAAGAAAUCAUUUUAUAUAUUUAUAUGGAUCAAUGCACUUCUUCAUGUGGGACCAAUAGGCAAGAGAAUGCCUUUUAGCUUCAAGACGCCCCUUCACGCCUAUUAUGACUCAAAAAUAUAGGCUUUUUUGUAUUUGAUACAGCAGGGUUUGAACCAGAAAGACCUCCAACUUUGACACUGUUGAAAUUGAUUAUCUAACUAUUUAUUACAAAAACUCGAGCUAUUAUAAAAUAACCAAUUUAUAUAUUUAUAUGGAUCAUCAUAGUUGUAGUUUGGGUUUAUUGGGCGCAGAGCCUCUUAGCUUCAACAACAUCAUUAAUGCUUACUGGUAUGUACACAUCACUCUGAGGGAGGACUGUGAGCUGUAGAACAGUAGAAUUAGCGUGUGAAAUUUGAGAUCAGAGAUAUGUUAAAUAGGAAAGCUAAUAGAUAGCACAUUUGGAAAGAGAUAAUAAGCACAAGACAUGACAGUUAACUUGGAUUAAACUCUUAGAUAAUAAUAGGCUUGAGGUUCUAUAUGCUUAUGUUUUGGUGCACAAGGUCAUCAUAUGGGUCUCUUCCUAUUUGCAUCUUUUUUGGGUCAUUUUAUGCACACGAAACCUGAAGAUAUAACCUGUCAAUGGAAUUUUGCACUUGAUCCAAUUUGUGAUCUUAAUGUGGGUCCAAUUUCAAAAUGUCAAGGUUAAUCUCGAGUAUCAUCUUCAUCUUACUCUAGAUUUGGUUCUUUCAUAGGUAUUAAGAAUUUAUUUAAAAUGCCCAAGCAGACUUGAACAUCAUUUUGUUUAUGAUAGAAUGAACUAAACCUUUUGCUAAAAUGAGAUGAGUAAAUAAAACAUGUUCUGUAUUUGUGUUAAUAUAGCUCGUAUCUCACCCUAGCUUCUCUUUUCCUUGCUAAUUGAAAUCUAGCAUAUUCAUAUUCUGUUGUAGGUAAUUUCGCAUUCUUGGCAUUGUUCUUAAUGAUUAUUUUGUAUCAGUUGUGGGAAAGUACUACAAAAUAUGUUGAUAUUUGGUGUCAUCAUCUUUCACUUGGGGGGAUGUGAAAUAGCUUCUCUUCAUUUUUUUUGUCCUUGUUAACUAUUCAUAUUGCUAAUAUCAAAUCCUCUCUUUAUUUUUGUUAGUGGCCUGAGAAUCAUUUUAUUAACACUUUUUGUAAGUAUUGCCUAUCUACACAAUCUUCUUCUGAGGAUAUCCUACAUUCAAACUCAUGUUUCCCUGGACUGAUGAGACUUCAGAUUCCUAAUUCCUUUAAGGAACUGAUAGCGCUAGGAGAACGUAUCGGUAGCGUCAACACUGGACUUAGUGAGGAAAAGAUACUUGAAUGCCUACAGCAGCAUAAGUAUGUACCUGUUGCAUCAGAGCCUACUGGGGAAGUUGAGCCAUGCUGCAUUUGUCGGGAAGAAUACAUUGAUGGAGACGAACUGGGUCAAUUGGACUGUGGUCAUGAUUUCCAUUCGUUGUGCAUCAAGAAAUGGCUGGUUGGCUAUAAAAAAUCUAUGCCCCAUCUGUAAAACAGCUGCUAUGAGUACUUGAAAGGACCAGAUUCACCCUUGCAUCUUGAACUACUUUAGCAAAUGACAUGUCCUAAUUCCUUCAAUCCUUUUAGCUUUUGUUGUCUUCAUAGUUAGAUGCUUUUCAUUCUCGCAUAUAACCUAAGAAAAUAUGAAGAUAUGGUGUCAUUUAUCAUUCCAUUGUCGAUGAAGUGUAUUGUCUGUGUUGUAAUAAUGCUUCUUGUUCACGAAUUUUAAACCAGAUUGGCGAAAGAAAAGAU